CAGCACCUCAAGUGGUCAGGAUGAUUAUUGGGCCUAAAGCAUCCGUAGCCGGCUCUGUAAGUUUUCGGUUAAAUCUGUAUGCUCAACAUACAGGCUGCCGAGAAUACUGCAGAGCUAGGGAGUGGGAGAGGUAGACGGUACUCGGUAGGAAGGGGUAAAAUCCUUUGAUCUAUUGAUGACCACCUGUGGCGAAGGCGGUCUACCAGAACACGUCCGACGGUGAGGGAUGAAAGCUGGGGGAGCAAACCGGAUUAGAUACCCGAGUAGUCC
rnacentral:rRNA from 1 species